UACGAAGGGUGCAAGCGUUAAUCGGAAUUACUGGGCGUAAAGGGUGCGUAGGCGGUUGUUUAAGUCUGUCGUGAAAUCCCCGGGCUCAACCUGGGAAUGGCGAUGGAUACUGGGCAGCUAGAGUGUGUCAGAGGAUGGUGGAAUUCCCGGUGUAGCGGUGAAAUGCGUAGAGAUCGGGAGGAACAUCAGCGGCGAAGGCGGCCAUCUGGGACAACACUGACGCUGAAGCACGAAAGCGUGGGGAGCAAACAGG
rnacentral:rRNA from 1 species